UACGUAGGGUGCAAGCGUUGUCCGGAAUUAUUGGGCGUAAAGAGCUCGUAGGCGGUCUGUCGCGUCUGCUGUGAAAACUCGGGGCUUAACCCCGGGCCUGCAGUGGGUACGGGCAGACUAGAGUGCGGUAGGGGAGACUGGAAUUCCUGGUGUAGCGGUGGAAUGCGCAGAUAUCGGGAGGAACACCCGUAGCGAAGGCGGUUCUCUGGGCCAAUACUGACGCUGAGGAGCGAAAGCGUGGGGAGCAAACAGG
rnacentral:rRNA from 1 species